rnacentral:rRNA from 1 species
UACGGAGGGUGCAAGCGUUAUCCGGAUUUAUUGGGUUUAAAGGGUCCGUAGGCGGAUCUGUAAGUCAGUGGUGAAAUCUCACAGCUUAACUGUGAAACUGCCAUUGAUACUGCAGGUCUUGAGUAAAGUAGAAGUGCUGGAAUAAGUAGUGUAGCGGUGAAAUGCAUAGAUAUUACUUAGAACACCAAUUGCGAAGGCAGGUCACUAUGUUUAACUGACGCUGAUGGACGAAAGCGUGGGGAGCGAACAGG